CAGUAGCCGCGGUAAUACGAAGGGUGCAAGCGUUAAUCGGAAUUACUGGGCGUAAAGCGCGCGUAGGUGGUUUGGUAAGAUGGAUGUGAAAUCCCCGGGCUCAACCUGGGAACUGCAUCCAUAACUGCCUGACUAGAGUACGGUAGAGGGUGGUGGAAUUUCCUGUGUUGCGGUGAAAUGCGUAGAUAUAGGAAGGAACACCAGUGGCGAAGGCGACCACCUGGACUGAUACUGACACUGAGGUGCGAAGGCGUGGGGAGCAAACAGGAUUAGAUACCCGAGUAGUCCCUGUCUCUUAUAC
rnacentral:rRNA from 1 species